rnacentral:misc_RNA from 1 species
GUGAAUCAUCAAAUUUUUGAACGCAAAUUGCACUCUCUGGUAUUCCGGAGAGUAUGCCUGUUUGAGGGUCAGCCUAAAUAAAAAUCGAUAUAGUCGCUGUUUAGCGGUGACAUUCGUCGGAAAUUGGGUCAUCUUAAACCUUUGGGAUUUAAGCGGCUUAAAGUUUUCUUUACGAUUCCACAAACGUUUCUAAGAUUUACUUCUUACGUUUAAGUUAUCGAUUUUUAUUAGAGGUGUCAGUUGCAUCGGAUCUCGUCCAUAAAUCUUUCGUUAACUGACCUCAGACAGGUAAGAACACAC